UCCAAUCUUGUCUUGACUGAUCAGGACUCCUCAGCGCACCUUCUCACGAUGAGGCUCUGUGCUCAGCUCCUGGGUCUGCUAAUGUUCUGGGUCCCUGGAUCCAGUGGGGAUAUUGUGAUGACCCAGACUCCACUCUCUCUGCCCGUCACCCCUGGAGAGCCGGCCUCCAUCUCCUGCAGGUCUAGUCAGAGCCUCCUGCACAGUAAUGGAUACACCUAUUUGCAUUGGUACCUGCAGAAGCCAGGCCGGUCUCCACAGCUCCUGAUCUAUGAUGCUUCCAACCGGGCCUCUGGAGUCCCAGACAGGUUCAGCGGCAGUGGGUCAGGCACUGAUUUCACACUGAAAAUCAGCCGGGUGGAGGCUGAGGAUGUCGGGGUUUAUUACUGCAUGCAAGGUAUACAAUAUCCUCCCACAGUGGUACAGCCUCGAACAGAAACUUCCCUGCUGGGGUGUCCCAGCUUCUUACAUGCACUACUUGUCUGGGGAGCAGCUCAGCAGGGCCUCUUGAGUAUGCAGAAGAGGAAGUUGUUGGAGAACUCAGGGGCAGAGUUUGCUAUUGAGGAAUCUGACCCAUGAGAGUCUCAGCAGCACCUCAGUCCCACGUGGUCAAAACUCCAUUAGUUGCCAGCCUCAUCCUCACCCUGCCUGUCUUGCUCACGAUUGCCAAGUACAUUCAGUCAGCAUAACAGCCAGAACAUAGGUGCAGUUUAGUGACAACAUAAGUGGAAUACAUGUGGAAAAUGACCAGUGUGGGGUUUAUUUUAUACAAAUUAAUACUUGGUGAUAAUACUUGGAAUUAUUUCCCCACUUCCCUUACUUUCUAUUUCCCUUUACCACUCACGCUAAACUGCACUUUCCAGUGUCAUGUUGGAGAACGUGUUCUAUACAAGCUGUCCUCAGGGGGAGUAUGGAUAUGAAUAAUUUGUAAAACUGUUU